UACGAAGGGGGCUAGCGUUGUUCGGAUUUACUGGGCGUAAAGCGUACGUAGGCGGACCGUUAAGUCGGAGGUGAAAUCCUGGGGCUCAACCCCAGAACUGCCUUCGAUACUGGCGGUCUCGAGUCCGGGAGAGGUGAGUGGAACUGCCAGUGUAGAGGUGAAAUUCGUAGAUAUUGGCAAGAACACCAGUGGCGAAGGCGGCUCACUGGCCCGGUACUGACGCUGAGGUACGAAAGCGUGGGGAG
rnacentral:rRNA from 1 species